AUGGUGUCUGUUUAAUAAAUAACAAAAAAACGGCAAAAAUAAGAAAUAAGUAAAAUCAAAAAAAAAUAUAUCGAUGUAAAGAACAGAAAAUUGUGCAAGUUUGGUAGAAAAAGUUCGAGAUUAAAAAGUAAUAUACGUAAAGAAAAAAAAUUGUUAAUAUUAAAAUAUUAGUAAAAAACAGAAAGAAACUAUUAAAAUUAAAAUAUUAUAAAAGAACAAAAAAAUUAUAAAAAGGGGCGAACAUUAAUCUAUUAACCAAAAAUUGGCAAACGACUGGCUGUAUCAUAGACUUAAUUUAUAGAAACUUGAACACGAAUCCAGAAAUUUUUGUGGAAUAUUUUGCCUUAUAUUGUUCGCAAUAAAAGAAAAAAAGUGAUUUUAGGAAUUUUUUGGUUAUAUCUGUUUCUGGUAUGGAAAAUGAAACUUUACAAGAGCAUCCCCAAUGCGUGGUCACAAACACAAGUAAAGCAACUGCGUAACUGCAUAGCGAUCAUGAUCGCGACUAUAAAGGAGCGUGACACAACACAGUCGGCGUUACAUUUAUAUUACAGCAGCAAAGGAGUGAUAGGGGAUAACUGGCUUAGCAUAGUCAUUCUCCCUGAACCACAGAUAAGUAUUUGAUUUACGGAUGGGAGAUGACUGGGUCACCUUAUUCGUUAUGCGUGAAAAACAGACGGAACCACCCCUCUGAUGAGUCUUCCAACGGGUCUUUAGUACUUACGGAGCGCGGAAAGUAAUAUCUGACAGAGUAGGUACGACCAACAACAGGUGGCGAUUCACCACGCUAGUUUUCUUCGUUAGUACGAAAACCAUAACUAUUAAUACAUUUAUCAUUAUUAAUACGUGGAUCAUAGCUGUUUCUCAAAACAGUUUUCAUCCUAAAAUACACGAAAUCGAAAUUCCCGUAAACACUAAAGAAAUAAUAUAUAGAAGAAAAUACGAAGGUCCAACACCUUCUAAAAAUUUCUUGGAAGGGGAUUUCCUGAGAAACCCUGAAAAUACCCCGGAUGAGAAGACCCGUCACAACAACACUAACUCCUCUUACCUCCGGGGAACUCCUACCGUGGACGUAUCUCUACAUAAACACAACGCAGCCCAUGCUACGCCGAGUAAACUCCUACUCAUAAUACCCAAAGAUGCCGGUUCUUCUACGCCAUCAAAGGAGAGGGGUUGUUGCUCUCACUCUUAUGAGUUAGAAGACAGUCCUGCCUUUUUGUGGUAUUAAAGAUUACCAACUUUGAACCACCAAAUAUUUUGUCAAGUCCCGAUUUAGUGUGUCACGGAUCGUGAAGCGUUCAUUUUAUUGCUGGGUGCUGCUUGGCGCUUUAUUGAGAAAAACGGAUGACACAAAAUCUAUUAUUUAUGAAUGAGUAAAUCGAACCUGACAUCGUUAGUGAAAAUCCAUUUAAGUCGGAAUCAUUUGAAAAAAAAUUGUCGAUUGCGACUCUUACCGUACUGUUGUUCAAGAAACUCUGUGUAAAUCGGGUGAUAUUGCUAUCAAUACCAAAUGCAAUUAGCUUGGACAUAACAGCAUCAUAAUUUAAGGCUCGCACGGUUGUUAAUUUUUUUAUUGCCUACACACCCUCACCUACCAUAAUAACAAACGGUUAAAAAAAACACAGUCAGCCUUAAUGUAAUUUUUUCAGUCGUUUUUUAUUUUUUAUAUAAUGUCAAUUUUUAUUGUA